UUUUUUUUUUCUUUUUUCUGUCUUUCAUCUGUGUGUCUCUCUCUCUGUCUCUUUCUAUCCUGCUCGAAAACCCUAGCCACCGUGAGAUGUAUUUUCUUCUUUGCCGAGCUCUUCCAUGGACUUUAACGAUGAUUUCGUCACUCCUCCUCCUCAUCCUCCUCCUCCUUAUGUGUGCUGCUGCCUCCUCCUGAAUCAAUGUGAAUACUUGUUACCUCUCACUCUCUUUCAAAAUCAUGUAAACUAUUUUUGAUAAGUAUUUUCUUAAACCAUGGUUCUCUGCUAAGAAAGCUAUCUGAUUUGUUUAGUAUUUAUUUUUGAUUUGCCAAUAAGGUUUAAUUAUAACUGAUUGUUACUUGGUUUACACGAUUCUAUGAUAUUAACUUGAGACUUAUGGAACAAUAAAACCUGGAAUUGAUUGAUAACUUGUUUUAUGAUCCCAUAGUUACAACUUGGUAUGAGUAAUGUUUGUGAAUCUUGAAUAUAGAGCAUGUAAAUGUGGAUCAGGCGUGAACCGGUAUUUCUUGAUGAUAGAGCUUUGAGUCAAAAUGAUGCUUGAAGUGCUAGGUAUCCGUCUAACAGCAAUGGGAUUGCAUGUGGUACAUAGUGCAAGUCAGUUGUCACCGCUUGAGGUUUUGGCGAGUCUCAAUAAUGUGGUGACAGUCUGAUCUCAGUUAGUUUUUUUAGAGAAAGGCAAGGGUCGAAUAUCAAAGUUAUUAGUGAAGUCUCUUUGCGACAUAGGUCACAUUCGGGUGUGGUUGAGCAAAGGGCUCGUGAUGAGAUGGUUGUGGAACAAGUUUGGUGGAGCAAUGGAUUCGAGAAAUGAAUUGAGGAUCAAA
rnacentral:lncRNA from 1 species